GCUGAAUCUCAGCCCACAGACCAGUAUAGCAGCAGGCAGCAUCGGCCACUUCAGUCCAACUCCACCGAGCCGUGAGUGAAGCGGCCGCGGUGAGACCGUUGGCCAGCGGCUGAGAGCCGUUUUCCGUCUUCGGGCCCGGACUUGCGCUUUGCACGCGCAAAAAGGAAACCAUGGAGCAGGGCCACGCAAAGACGUACCAGGAGGUGUUGCAGUACUUCCAAACCGAUCCCGAGCGUGGGCUUUCUGACAGCCAGGUGAAGAAGUAUCAAGAGAAAUACGGACCCAACGAAUUGCCCGCUGAGGAAGGCAAAGCUCUUUGGCAGCUUAUUCUCGAACAAUUCGACGAUUUGCUCGUCAAGAUCCUGCUUCUUGCCGCCAUCAUCUCGUUCGCGCUGGCGUUGUUCGAAGCUGAAGAGGAAGAUUCGAUUACGGCGUUUGUCGAACCCUUUGUCAUUCUUCUCAUUCUCAUUGCAAACGCCGUUGUCGGUGUCUGGCAAGAACGUAAUGCUGAAUCUGCUAUUGAAGCUCUAAAGGAAUAUGAGCCCGAAAUGGGUAAGGUCAUCCGCAGCAAUAAGCAUGGCGUGCAGAAAAUUCGCGCCAAAGAGAUCGUGCCCGGUGAUCUCGUUGAGGUGUCUGUCGGUGACAAGGUACCAGCUGAUAUCCGUCUCGUCAAGAUUUAUUCGACUACGCUUCGCGUUGAUCAGUCCAUCCUGACCGGUGAGUCGGUGUCCGUUAUUAAGCACACGGACGCUGUGCCCGACCCCCGCGCCGUCAACCAAGACAAGAAAAACAUCCUCUUUUCUGGAACGAAUAUUGCCGCCGGAAAAGCUCUAGGUGUUGUCAUUGGUACUGGUGUGGAGACCGCUAUUGGUAAGAUUCGUACUGAAAUGGCUGAGACUGAAGAAGUUAAAACUCCGCUGCAGCAGAAACUUGAUGAGUUCGGUGAGCAGUUGUCGAAAGUGAUCUCCAUCAUUUGCGUUGCUGUGUGGGCGAUAAACAUUGGGCACUUUAAUGACCCCGCUCACGGUGGUUCAUGGAUUAAGGGCGCUAUCUAUUAUUUCAAGAUUGCCGUUGCCCUCGCCGUCGCCGCCAUCCCCGAGGGUCUGCCUGCUGUCAUUACCACUUGUCUAGCUUUGGGAACUCGCCGUAUGGCCAAGAAGAAUGCCAUUGUGCGUUCCCUGCCCUCCGUAGAAACACUUGGUUGCACUUCUGUUAUCUGCUCCGACAAAACUGGCACGCUCACUACCAAUCAAAUGUCCGUGUCACGCUUCUUCAUUAUCGAUUACGCUGAGAACAACGACAUCAACUUCCAUGAGUUCGAAGUGACUGGCUCCACUUAUGAACCCAUUGGCGAAGUGUUCAAGAACGGCGCCCGUGUCGAUCCUACCGAUUAUGAAGCGCUUGUUGAGCUGUCUACUAUCUGCGUUAUGUGCAACGACUCGUCCAUCGAUUUCAACGAAUACAAGCAGGCCUUUGAGAAGGUCGGCGAGGCCACUGAAACCGCCCUGAUUGUCCUAGCUGAGAAAAUCAACCCGCUCAAAUUCGACAAGUCCGGCAAGUCCCGACGUGAUGCCGCACUUACUGUGACCCAUGGCAUCCAGUCGAUGUGGAAGAAAGAAUGUACCCUUGAAUUCUCUCGUGACCGUAAAUCUAUGUCAUCGUACUGCGUGCCCACAAAGCCCAACAAGCUUGGCCCUGGCCCCAAAAUGUUUGUCAAGGGUGCCCCGGAAGGCGUGCUCGACCGUUGCUCGCACGUGCGUAUUGGGGAUAAGAAGUUCCCCAUGACCACCGCCUUAAAAGACAAAAUCCUUGCUACUACUCGUGCAUAUGGUACUGGCCGUGACACCCUUCGUUGCCUGGCUCUUGCCACCCUUGACACGCCUCCGCGCACCGACGAGAUGGAGCUCGGUGACUCGACGCAAUUCAUCCGCUAUGAGGUUGGUCUAACAUUUGUCGGUGUGGUCGGAAUGCUUGACCCCCCCCGUAAGGAGGUGUUCGAUUCUAUCAUGCGCUGCCGCGCUGCUGGUAUCCGUGUCAUUGUCAUCACUGGUGACAACAAGGGAACUGCUGAAGCAAUCUGCCGUCGUAUUGGGGUUUUUACCGAGGAGGAAGACACGACCGGUAUGUCAUAUUCCGGCCGUGAAUUCGAUGACCUACCAAUUGAUGAGCAAAGACGUGCCACCCAGCGUUCUCGUCUCUUCUCACGCGUCGAGCCGGCCCACAAGUCUAAGAUCGUUGAGUUCCUUCAGGCCGAUGGUGAAAUCUCGGCCAUGACUGGUGAUGGUGUGAAUGAUGCCCCCGCCCUAAAGAAAGCUGAAAUUGGAAUUGCUAUGGGUUCUGGAACUGCUGUAGCCAAGUCCGCUGCUGAAAUGGUGCUGGCCGAUGAUAACUUCUCAUCAAUUGUUGCUGCCGUCGAGGAGGGUCGCGCAAUUUAUAACAACAUGAAACAGUUCAUCCGUUACCUGAUUUCGUCCAACAUUGGUGAGGUCGUAUCGAUUUUCUUGACGGCUGCACUGGGUCUGCCUGAGGCCCUUAUCCCUGUACAGCUUCUAUGGGUCAACCUGGUCACUGAUGGUCUUCCCGCUACUGCUCUCGGAUUCAAUCCGCCUGACCUCGACAUCAUGGAGCGCCCGCCUCGCAAGGCCGACGAAUCCCUCAUCUCUGGCUGGUUGUUCUUCCGUUAUAUGGCUAUUGGAGGAUACGUCGGUGCGGCGACGGUGGGCGCUUCUGCCUGGUGGUACAUGGUGGCUCCCGAUGGUCCGCACCUUUCGUUCUACCAGGUCACUCACCACUUGUCCUGCAUAGGCGACAAGACAAACUUUUCUGGAAUCGACUGCGCUGUAUUCCAUGAUCCUCACCCUAUGACAAUGGCGCUUUCGGUGCUUGUGCUCAUCGAGAUGCUGAAUGCACUCAACUCACUUUCGGAGAAUCAGUCGCUGCUCGUUAUGCCGCCCUGGACCAAUCUGUGGCUAGUCGGUGCUAUGACGCUGUCGAUGUCUCUCCACUUCCUUGUCCUUUACACCGAUAUCAUGAAUACUGUAUUUAGCGUGUGCCCGCUGAGCGCGAACGAAUGGAUCGCCGUGUGCAAGAUGUCGCUACCUGUCGUCAUUCUCGACGAGACAAUGAAGUAUAUUGCACGCACCUACAUCGAUGUAACACCGACCAAUCAUCAAUGCUCUUAGCGCAUCCGCACCUAGCUCAAUCGACCACAUUCGAGGUUUUUUGGUCUGAAAGUCUCAAGGGCCUAUUGCAACCCUGAGUGCGGUGCUGUGCUGUGCGUGGCCUGACUAUUAUCAACGACCCAUGGGUCCUUUCGACAAAUUGAUGAAAGUACACAUCUGCCCGCACCGCGUCGCUUCUAGCCAAAAUUACCAUCGGCGGUGGCGGAUUUGUCGAAGAUUGUCGCUCCAGGGGCAAUUGCCAAGUAAGGAAAAAACAACUUGGCAUAACUUACUUCAGAUAACAAUUCGCCGUCGUCAUCAGCAUCAUCAUUUAAUCCGGUCGACGCGUGCGUCGCUGUAAAGUACUCGCGACAGGACGUACGCGCGACAGGACACCCACCCACUUCGUCAAAGAAUAGCAAAAUCGUGUUCGUCAUCGAUUUGACUACGAGGUGGAGGAACACAUUACCAGCUACAAUUGUCCUGUUUGAGACGCGUCGUUUCAUCGUGGUUAUGAUUAUUAUAUAAGGAUAGUUUUUUUCUGUUUGCAAUGACGACGUCUACACUAUGUCAUAAAUAUGUUUUGUUUUUAUUUAUAGUGAUUAAUUAUGUUAUGGUAUGUUAGUACCGAAAUUUUAUAUAGUAGUUCUUUCCUUUGACACCUGAGUGAUGAAACUGAUGAAUCAAUAAAUGCAGAAAAUGUGCGGAAAAAUAUGAAGAUGGUCGAGAUUGCAUAAAGUGACUUUAACUAGCACCAGCCAAUAUCAAACGUUAAGAAUAAUAGCAGCAGCAAAUAAAUCUUUGGGGGUUUUUCUAUUGCACUCCCAUUUCCGUUCUAUCAUCGACGACGACUGACGACUACUAACGAUCGAGGCAGCGCCGUUGAUUAACUAAGGAAUCCUGAACUCCCCUGCUAGGGACGGCACCUUUCGGGAGCAAAAUAAUAUAGGACGACUGAAAAAAGCUAGAUCACUUCAUCAGGACGUCAAACACAACGGCACCACAAUUGAAACAAGAGCAAGUGGUGGAGCCACAAGCAAAAUGCAAGAUGUAUAGUAGAAACGAAUAAUAAAGUAAAAAUACUACUAGCCAUAUUGCCACCAACAGGAUUAGUAAGAUCAACAACAACUGUCAGAUCCACAUGGAAUUUUUUUUGACGUCAAUAAUAACGGCGAGAUUAAAAUACACAAACCGGAACAAUAACAAUAAUAAAGAAGCGGAACCUCUUGUACCUAAUA